AUUGAACGCUGGCGGCGGGCUUAACACAUGCAAGUCGAGCGGAGAUGAGGUGCUUGCACCUUAUCUUAGCGGCGGACGGGUGAGUAAUGCUUAGGAAUCUGCCUAUUAGUGGGGGACAACAUUCCGAAAGGAAUGCUAAUACCGCAUACGUCCUACGGGAGAAAGCAGGGGAUCUUCGGACCUUGCGCUAACAGAUGAGCCUAAGUCGGAUUAGCUAGUUGGUGGGGUAAAGGCCUACCAAGGCGACGAUCUGUAGCGGGUCUGAGAGGAUGAUCCGCCACACUGGGACUGAGACACGGCCCAGACUCCUACGGGAGGCAGCAGUGGGGAAUAUUGGACAAUGGGGGGAACCCUGAUCCAGCCAUGCCGCGUGUGUGAAGAAGGCCUUAUGGUUGUAAAGCACUUUAAGCGAGGAGGAGGCUACUGAGACUAAUACUCUUGGAUAGUGGACGUUACUCGCAGAAUAAGCACCGGCUAACUCUGUGCCAGCCGCCGCGGUAACAC
rnacentral:rRNA from 1 species